UUUUAUUUCACAACCAUGAUAGCAUAAAAGCAUCUGGUAUGUUUAGGACUACGAAACAUGCGAAUAUAGUGAAGUGUCUCUAGCAAAACAUUUGGACUGACGUGGGCAUGCGAAUGUUAUUCGAUACACUAAAAUUGUUUCAACUUUGACAGAGGCGGACGGUUACGAAAGCUAGAGGUAUUGGACUCACAAAAUUUUUUAAAUUUCUU
rnacentral:lncRNA from 1 species